rnacentral:rRNA from 1 species
AUACGUAGGUGGCAAGCGUUGUCCGGAUUUACUGGGUGUAAAGGGCGUGUAGGCGGAGAUGCAAGUCAGGAGUGAAAUCUAGGGGCUCAACCCCUAAACUGCUUUUGAAACUGUAUCCCUUGAGUAUCGGAGAGGCAGGCGGAAUUCCUAGUGUAGCGGGGAAAUGAGUAGAUAUUAGGAGGAAUACCAGUGGCGAAGGCGGCCUGCUUGGCGACGACUGUCGCUGAGGAGCGAAAGCGUUGGGAGCAAACAGUAUUAGAUACCCUGGUAGUCCACGCUGUAAACGAUGAAUACUAGGUGUGGGGGGACUGACCCCCUCCGUGCCGCAGUUAACACAAUAAGUAUUCCACCUGGGGGGUACGAUCUCAAGAUUGAAACUCAAAUGAAUUGACGGGG